UCCCAGAUAGCUCAGUUGGUAAAGAAUCUGCAUGCAAUGCAGAAGACCCUGGUUUGAUUCCUGGGUUGGGAA
rnacentral:tRNA from 1 species